UCCUCAUGACAGGUACACUUUUAAACUACCACACUAAAUUCAUCAUCUUGUCAAUUUCCCCCAUGGACAAUAUGCUAGUUUUGAAUCCAGUGAGGGUCUACCAACAAGAGGCAGUUUUCUCAAUCCUGCUCAUGACUUGGUCAAUCCCAAGUAUUACUCUUCAUGCUAUUGCUUGUCCUAGAUUUUUCCUUAGCUCCAGUUCAGGUGUUGGGAUCCUGACAACUAUGCCAAGUUUUAUUUGUGGAGGCUACUCUCCAGGCCAAAGGGCCCUGUGAGUUAGGCCACACUGGGGCCCAGAGGAGCCAAAGGUACUCAGUGCAUCUGCCAAACAAAGAUCCCAAGACUCAGACAAUCUCCCAAGUGCAAAGCUUUAUUGACCAUUUAUCACAUUCACUGCAAGACAGAGGGGAGCCCACCCAUGGCAUAAGCUGGAAGCUGGAGACAGUGCCAGCUGUGUAAAGUCUUUCUUCCACCAAGCCAACAUGCCCCGUGAAGAGUGGGUGGUGCAACAGGCAGCACUGGAAUUCAUGGUGAUCUGGAGACUGAGCACUGGAGCUCACUGUGAUCUAGAACCUAAGAAGUGGUACUCACCGUGAUCCAGACACUAGUACACCCAGAGAGCUGAACAGAGCAUUCCAGAUGGACAGAGUGACAGUCACAGUCAGUUGAAGUCCAGUGAGAGCUCUGCACAAAGCAGCACCUGGGGCAGAGUCCACAGCACUGAGUCAGAAGACUGAGCUGAAGAGCAACUGAAAGCAUUUAACAGAUUCAGUACACAAUUGUCCACCAACAGCUCUGGGCAAAGUCUUCCAUUUCCUGUGAGGAAGAAUGUGCUCCUCCACAAAAGAGAAACAGUACAGUGAAGAACACCGAAUGGAAUACAAUAAACAUCCAAGGAGAGAAAAUCAAAUAUUACCUGGAAAAUCACUAGCUACAUCUCUCUUUUUUUUUUUUUCUGGUACUAGCGAUCAAAUUUGGGACCUUGCACUUGUGGAGUCAGAUGCGCUACCGUUGCACCCCGAGGUCCUAAGGGUCCUUGCACUUGUGAAGCAUGUGUGGUGCCACUGAACUAAAUCCUUGGG
rnacentral:lncRNA from 1 species